CCUACGGGUGGCAGCAGUGGGGAAUUUUGGACAAUGGGCGCAAGCCUGAUCCAGCUAUUCCGCGUGUGGGAAGACGGCCUUCGGGUUGUAAACCACUUUUGUAGAGGACGAAAAGUCUAUUGAUACUACCGAUAGAUGAUGACGGUACUCUAAGAAUAAGCACCGGCUAACUACGUGCCAGCAGCCGCGGUAAUACGUAGGGUGCGUGCGUUAAUCGGAAUUACUGGGUGGAAAGGGAGUGCAGGCGGUUUUGCAAGAUGGAUGUGAAAGCCCCGGGCUUAACCUGGGAAAGGCAUACAUGACUGGAAGACUAGAGUACGUCAGAGGGGGGUGGAAUUCCAAGUGUAGCAGUGAAAUGCGUAGAUAUUAGGAAGAACACCGAUGGCGAAGGCAGCCUCCUGGGACGCAACUGACGCUGAUACUCGAAAGCGUGGGGAGCAAACAGGAUUAGAUACCCGAGUAGUC
rnacentral:rRNA from 1 species